rnacentral:rRNA from 1 species
CCCUUAGAUGUUCUGGGCCGCACGCGCGUUACAAUGAUGCACUCAACAGGCAUAUAACCUUGGCCGAGAGGCCUGGGUAAUCCCGUUAACUUGCAUCGUGUUAGGGAUAGAUUAUUGCAAUUAUUAAUCUUGAACGAGGAAUUCCUAGUAAUCGCAGAUCAUCAAUCUGCAAUGAUUACGUCCCUGCCCUUUGUACACACCGCCCGUCGCACCUACCGAUUGAAUGGUCCGGUGAAGCCUCGGGAUUGCGAAUGCUUCGUGCGGACGCGAGAACUUGGCUAAACCUUACCAUUUAGAGGAAGGUGAAGUCGUAACA